rnacentral:lncRNA from 10 species
CUUUGAUAUGAUCAUAUAAUAGCAAGUACAUAUUAAUAUUUUAAAACAAAAUAAUUACACAAGCAUCCAGAAGAUUGCACACUGAGUGUGAGGUCAAUGGCAGAUCAUGUUGCUGGGGGUCACAAACCUCAGUGGUGGAGAAAAAUAGGGACAGUAUUUAUGGAAGAAGGACUACCCUGAGCUGCGCCUGGAGCUGAGGUUGUGGGGGUGGUGGCAGACAGCAGAUAACUGAAAUUCAGUUUUUGAGGAGAUGGUACAUUGGCUGGCUUGGUUAAAGUGAAGGCAUUAGUUGGUGAAAUCAGGAGAAAUACUUUAGUGAGAAACAGAGAAGGCAAAUGAACUGGCAGGUGGUCUGCAAAGACCCAGAUGAGAGAUUUCCCUUUAAUAUGAUGGGCAAAGGGGGCAACUGUGGAUUCUUGCCAGUUAAUGCCAAAAUAUUAGGAAAAGCUGAUUCUGGCCACCAGGAUGAAUUAACGUUUCCAGGGGCUUCCUAAAGGGGUAAAAAUCUAGCAUGGCAAGGGGAUUGUGUCAUCAGAGUCAGCAGAAUUCCAGGGCAUUUUGCACCCUAAGCUUUCAGCCCUCUCUUGAUGUGCAUUCCCUUCUCUCCAGGUGCAUCAUUCCUCACCUGGAAGAGGAAGUAACAGAGCCAUUGGCUGUGUGGGGCAUGAAGCCCCAAGCUCUGAUGCUGAAACAUGCACCCCUCUACCCUAGGCCAUGGUGGAGGGUGCGGAAGAUACAGCCUGGAUGAUGUACAGUUCAUCUCCCCUUCCUCUACUAAUUAGUGUUUGUUGAGCCCCUGCAAUGUGUGUCUGGAUCAGGCCUGGAGGAUACCUUGAUGAAAGAGGCCCCUGAAGAGUUCACUCUCUAGCUGGGGAGAAAGAAAAAUUAAAGUAAUGUGAGAUGGUGGGAUCAAGUGUUGAAUUGUGGUGGAAAGACUGUUCAGAUUCCAAAAAGGAAGAGGUGGAAUUGGGUGCUUUUUUUUCCUCUAUAUUUUUCUGUAUUCUCAAAGUUUUCUACUAUGCAUAGAUAUUACUUUUAUGAUAAGGGAAAAAUUAUAAUUUUAAAAACGGGGGCAGCCAAUGAGAGCUAGAAUAAUCAGGAAGUCUUCAUAGCAGAGGCUGGACU